UACGAAGGUCCCGAGCGUUGUUCGGAAUCACUGGGCGUAAAGGGAGCGUAGGCGGCGCGGCGAGUCAGAUGUGAAAUCCCGGGGCUCAACCCCGGAACUGCAUCCGAUACUGCCGUGCUUUGAGGGUUGGAGAGGUAGCUGGAAUUCACGGUGUAGCAGUGAAAUGCGUGGAUAUCGUGAGGAACACUCGUGGCGAAAGCGAGCUACUGGACAACACCUGACGCUGAGGCUCGAAGGCCGGGGGAGCGAAAGGG
rnacentral:rRNA from 1 species